CAGAGGGUGCAAGCGCUAAUCGGGAAUUACUGGGCGUAAAGCGCGCGUAGGUGGUUUGUUAAGUUGGAUGUGAAAGCCCCGGGCUCAACCUGGGAACUGCAUUCAAAAACUGACAAGCUAGAGUAUGGUAGAGGGUGGUGGAAUUUCCUGUGUAGCGGUGAAAUGCGUAGAUAUAGGAAGGAACACCAGUGGCGAAGGCGACCACCUGGACUGAUACUGACACUGAGGUGCGAAAGACGUGGGGGAGCAAACAGGAUU
rnacentral:rRNA from 1 species